GAUGAACGCUGGCGGCGUGCCUAACACAUGCAAGUCGAGCGUGAAUCUGAUGAGUGGAGACUUCGGUUGAAGCGAGUUGGAGGAAAGCGGCGGACGGGUGAGUAACGCGUGGGCAACCUGCCCCAUACAGCCGGAUAGCCACUGGAAACGGUGAUUAAUACGGCAUAAGACCACGAUACCGCAUGGUAACGCGGUCAAAGAUUUAUCGGUAUGGGAUGGGCCCGCGUCUGAUUAGCUAGUUGGUGAGGUAACGGCUCACCAAGGCGACGAUCAGUAACCGGCCUGAGAGGGCGAACGGUCACACUGGAACUGAGACACGGUCCAGACUCCUACGGGAGGCAGCAGUGGGGGAAUAUUGCACAAUGGGCGGCAAGCCUGAUGCAGCAACGCCGCGUGAGUGAAG
rnacentral:rRNA from 1 species